AACGAACGCUGGCGGCGCGCCUAACACAUGCAAGUCGAACGAGAGGGCGUAGCAAUACGCUUGUAGAGUGGCGAACGGGUGAGUAAUACGUGGGUGACCUACCCUCGAGUGGGGAAUAACCCGCCGAAAGGCGGGCUAAUGCCGCGUACGCUUCCGUCCUCACGGGGACGGAAGGAAAGCUGUACCGUGGGUACGGCGCUCAAGGAUGGGCUCACGUCCUAUCAGCUUGUUGGUAGGGUAACGGCCUACCAAGGCUACGACGGGUAGCUGGUCUGAGAGGACGAUCAGCCACACUGGCACUGCGACACGGGCCAGACUCCUACGGGAGGCAGCAGUGAGGAAUAUUGCGCAAUGGGCGAAAGCCUGACGCAGCGACGCCGCGU
rnacentral:rRNA from 1 species